rnacentral:rRNA from 1 species
AUUGAACGCUGGCGGAAUGCUUUACACAUGCAAGUCGAGCGGCAGCGCGGCCUUCGGGCUGGCGGCGAGCGGCGAACGGGUGAGUAAUGCAUCGGAACAUGCCCAGUCGUGGGGGAUAACACUUCGAAAGAAGUGCUAAUACCGCAUACGUCCUGAGGGGGAAAGCGGGGGAUCGCAAGACCUCGCGCGAUUGGAGUGGCCGAUGUCAGAUUAGCUAGUUGGUGGGGUAAAGGCCUACCAAGGCGACGAUCUGUAGCUGGUCUGAGAGGAUGAUCAGCCACACUGGGACUGAGACACGACCCAGACUCCUACGGGAGGCAGCAGUGGGGAAUUUUGGACAAUGGGGGCAACCCUGAUCCAGCCAUUCCGCGUGAGUGAAGAAGGCCUUCGGGUUGUAAAGCUCUUUCGGCAGGAACGAAACGGUGGGCUCUAACAUAGUCCGCUAAUGACGGUACCUGAAGAAGAAGCACCGGCUAACUACGUG